CAGUAGCCACGGGAAUACGAAGGGUGCAAGCGUUACUCGGAAUUACUGGGCGUAAAGCGUGCGUAGGUGGUGGUUUAAGUCCGUUGUGAAAGCCCUGGGCUCAACCUGGGAAUUGCAGUGGAUACUGGAUCACUAGAGUGUGGUAGAGGAUAGUGGAAUUUCCGGUGUAGCAGUGAAAUGCGUAGAGAUCGGAAGGAACAUCUGUGGCGAAGGCGACUAUCUGGGCCAACACUGACACUGAGGCACGAAAGCGUGGGGAGCAAACAGGAUUAGAUACCCCCGUAGUCCCUGUCUCUUAUAC
rnacentral:rRNA from 1 species